AGACUCCGGCUUCAAAAAGGAUACUGUGGCUACAGAAAAAAUCAAAGUCAAAACCAAUGGUGGCAUUCCCUAAUGUUACUGUGAAUAGCAUAACAUUGGCCAUUAAAUUUUCUGAUGUUCAAAUUCAGGAAUCUGGCAUUUUGUGUAGUAUAAGAGAAGGCUAUAAACCUGAAGGUGGUUUUAGUUAAGCCAAAAAAAAAAAAAUGUGAGCAAGACACAUAUAUACAAUUUAUUAAAAACACAUGAACACAUUAAAAUCUCACUAUUUAUACAAUCUAAAUUCUAGCAACAUAUACAAAUACUGAGUGACUACAGUACAUGCCGAGGUAAGAAAAGUACAUUCUGGGAGAAUUUCACUGACACUUAAGCCAUUUUUGUUUCCAAUAUGUAUUUCAAUACAUGUUUUGUUUCCACCCUUCCCAGUGUCAAAAAAAAAAAAAAAAAAAAGGAGAGAGAGAGAGAUGAAGAGACUAGCCACAAGUUGGUGUGACUAAAUGACCUAAAAAGUACUUUAAUAACCAUCCAACUCUUCAGAUUUUGCAGUUUAGGGACUUCAAGUUCAGAACUGAAAGGCAAAGCAAAUAGAAAGGAAUACAGGAAUAGAAGAGGAGGAAAUCAUGAUAGUACCCACCUUCACACAAAGCAGAAUUUCAAGCCAUUAGACAUUUCAAGAACAGUACCAUGCAUUAUUGCCAGUCAGGCUUACAAAGCCUUGUUGAGUUCAUCAAAUGUACCUGCAGCAUUGGUAAUAAAUACUUACUUUCAGUGAU